UACGUAGGGGGCAAGCGUUGUCCGGAAUCAUUGGGCGUAAAGAGCGUGUAGGCGGCUCGGUAAGUCCGCUGUAAAAGUCCAGGGCUCAACCCUGGAAAGCCGGUGGAAACUGUCGAGCUAGAGUCCGGAAGAGGCGAGUGGAAUUCCUGGUGUAGCGGUGAAAUGCGCAGAUAUCAGGAGGAACACCGAUGGCGAAGGCAGGUCUCUGGGCCAUAACUGACGCUGAGAAGCGAAAGCAUGGGGAGCGAACAGG
rnacentral:rRNA from 1 species